CUACGGGAGGCUCCAGUGGGGAAUAUUGGACAAUGGGGGAAACCCUGAUCCAGCAAUGCCGCGUGUGUGAAAAAGGCCUGCGGGUUGUAAAGCACUUUCGGUUGGGAGGACUGCUUCUAGCACUAAUAUUGUUGGAAGUUGACGUUACCUUCAGAAGAAGCACCGGCUAACUCCGUGCCAGCAGCCGCGGUAAUACGGAGGGUGCAAGCGUUAAUCGGAAUUACUGGGCGUAAAGCGCGCGUAGGCGGCUAGAUCAGUCGGGUGUGAAAGCCCCGGGCUUAACCUGGGAACUGCAUCCGAUACUGUCUAGCUUGAGUACAGGAGAGGAGAGUGGAAUUCCACAUGUAGCGGUGAAAUGCGUAGAUAUGUGGAGGAACACCAAUGGCGAAGGCAGCUCUCUGGCCUGAUACUGACGCUGAGGUGCGAAAGCGUGGGGAGCGAACAGGAUUAGAUAUCCCCGUAGUC
rnacentral:rRNA from 1 species